ACAAACUUCCAGAGGCAAGAGAAACAAUCACUAAAACUAGAAGGCAACCUACUCAAUGGGAGAAGAUAUUUGCAAAUGACAUAUCUGAUAAAAGGUUAGUAUCCAAAACAUAUAAA